AAACAAUGUAUUUUCGCAUUAUUCAUGUUCAAUACUUGACCGUUUGUUUUUUAAAUUAUUUUUCAUGAUUACUAUUUUUAUUAUUACUAGAUGAUAAAAUAUGAAUAAUAUUUUAUUUAUGACUAUUUUUUUAAUUUUUUAAAUAAAACGAAUGGUCAAAUGUUGAGCGCGAAAAUCUAUAAAUGCAGAUAAA
rnacentral:pre_miRNA from 1 species